GUUGUAUGGUUAAGUGACUAAGCGUACACGGUGGAUGCCUUGGCAGUCAGAGGCGAUGAAAGACGUAGUAACUUGCGAUAAGCCCAGAUUAGGUAGUAACAACCAUUUGAGUCUGGGAUUUCUGAAUGGGGAAACCCACGUGCAUAAGCACGUAUCCUUACCUGAAUACAUAGGGUAAGGAGGCGAACCGGGGGAACUGAAACAUCUAAGUACCCCGAGGAAAAGAAAUCAACCGAGAUUCCGAAAGUAGCGGCGAGCGAAAUUGGACUAGCCCUUAAGCUUUACACGCGUUAGACGAACGGUCUGGAAAGUCCGACGAUACAGGGUGAUAGUCCCGUAGUUGACGACGUGUGUUCAGUGAAAUCGAGUAGGGCGGGACACGUGAUAUCCUGUCUGAAUAUGGGGGGACCAUCCUCCAAGGCUAAAUACUACUGACUGACCGAUAGUGAACCAGUACCGUGAGGGAAAGGCGAAAAGAACCCCUGUGAGGGGAGUGAAAUAGAACCUGAAACCGUGUACGUACAAGCAGUAGGAGCACCUUCGUGGUGUGACUGCGUACCUUUUGUAUAAUGGGUCAGCGACUUAUAUUCAGUGGCAAGGUUAACCAUCUAGGGGAGCCGUAGGGAAACCGAGUCUUAACUGGGCGUUCAGUCUCUGGAUAUAGACCCGAAACCAGGUGAUCUAGCCAUGGGCAGGUUGAAGGUUGAGUAACAUCAACUGGAGGACCGAACCGACUAAUGUUGAAAAAUUAGCGGAUGACUUGUGGCUAGGGGUGAAAGGCCAAUCAAACCUGGAGAUAGCUGGUUCUCCCCGAAAGCUAUUUAGGUAGCGCCUCGGACGAAUACUACUGGGGGUAGAGCACUGUUAAGGCUAGGGGGUCAUCCCGACUUACCAACCCUUUGCAAACUCCGAAUACCAGUAAGUACUAUCCGGGAGACACACGGCGGGUGCUAACGUCCGUCGUGGAGAGGGAAACAACCCAGACCGCCAGCUAAGGUCCCAAAUUACUACUAAGUGGGAAACGAUGUGGGAAGGCUCAGACAGCCAGGAUGUUGGCUUAGAAGCAGCCAUCAUUUAAAGAAAGCGUAAUAGCUCACUGGUCGAGUCGGCCUGCGCGGAAGAUGUAACGGGGCUAAGUAGUAAACCGAAGCUGCGGCAAUAUACUUUUGUAUAUUGGGUAGGGGAGCGUUCUGUAAGCGGUUGAAGGUGUGUGGUAACGCAUGCUGGACGUAUCAGAAGUGCGAAUGCUGACAUGAGUAACGAUAAAGGGGGUGAAAAACCUCCUCGCCGGAAGACCAAGGGUUCCUGUCCAACGUUAAUCGGGGCAGGGUAAGUCGACCCCUAAGGCGAGGCCGAAAGGCGUAGUCGAUGGGAAACGGGUUAAUAUUCCCGUACUUCUUACAAUUGCGAUGGGGGGACGGAGAAGGCUAGGUGGGCCUGGCGACGGUUGUCCAGGUUCAAGUGCGUAGGCUUAAGAGUUAGGUAAAUCCGGCUCUUUCUAAGGCUGAGACACGACGUCGAGCACCUACGGGUGUGAAGUCAUUGAUGCCAUGCUUCCAGGAAAAGCCUCUAAGCUUCAGAUUGUAAGGAAUCGUACCCCAAACCGACACAGGUGGUCGGGUAGAGAAUACCAAGGCGCUUGAGAGAACUCGGGUGAAGGAACUAGGCAAAAUGGUACCGUAACUUCGGGAGAAGGUACGCUCUCGACGGUGAAGUCCCUCGCGGAUGGAGCUAUUGAGAGUCGCAGAUACCAGGUGGCUGCAACUGUUUAUUAAAAACACAGCACUGUGCAAAAUCGUAAGAUGACGUAUACGGUGUGACGCCUGCCCGGUGCCGGAAGGUUAAUUGAUGGGGUUAGACUUCGGUCGAAGCUCUUGAUCGAAGCCCCGGUAAACGGCGGCCGUAACUAUAACGGUCCUAAGGUAGCGAAAUUCCUUGUCGGGUAAGUUCCGACCUGCACGAAUGGCGUAAUGAUGGCCACGCUGUCUCCACCCGAGACUCAGUGAAAUUGAAAUCGCUGUGAAGAUGCAGUGUACCCGCGGCUAGACGGAAAGACCCCGUGAACCUUUACUACAGCUUGGCACUGAACAUUGACCCUACAUGUGUAGGAUAGGUGGGAGGCUUUGAAGCACGUACGCCAGUAUGUGUGGAGCCGUCCUUGAAAUACCACCCUUGUAGUGUUGAUGUUCUAACGUCGACCCCUUAUCGGGGUUGCGGACAGUGCCUGGUGGGUAGUUUGACUGGGGCGGUCUCCUCCCAAAGAGUAACGGAGGAGCACGAAGGUGGGCUAAUCACGGUUGGACAUCGUGAGGUUAGUGCAAUGGCAUAAGCCCGCUUGACUGCGAGAAUGACAAUUCGAGCAGGUGCGAAAGCAGGUCAUAGUGAUCCGGUGGUUCUGAAUGGAAGGGCCAUCGCUCAACGGAUAAAAGGUACUCCGGGGAUAACAGGCUGAUACCGCCCAAGAGUUCAUAUCGACGGCGGUGUUUGGCACCUCGAUGUCGGCUCAUCACAUCCUGGGGCUGAAGUCGGUCCCAAGGGUAUGGCUGUUCGCCAUUUAAAGUGGUACGCGAGCUGGGUUUAGAACGUCGUGAGACAGUUCGGUCCCUAUCUGCCGUGGGCGUUGGAAGAUUGAAGGGGGCUGCUCCUAGUACGAGAGGACCGGAGUGGACGAACCUCUGGUGUUCGGGUUGUGUCGCCAGACGCAUUGCCCGGUAGCUAAGUUCGGAAUCGAUAACCGCUGAAAGCAUCUAAGCGGGAAGCGAGCCCUGAGAUGAGUCUUCCCUGAUACUUUAAGUAUCCUAAAGGGUUGUCGGAGACUACGACGUUGAUAGGUCAGGUGUGUAAGUGCUGUGAGGCAUUGAGCUAACUGAUACUAAUUGCCCGUGAGGCUUAACCAUACAACACCCAAGGGGUUU
rnacentral:rRNA from 1 species